rnacentral:rRNA from 1 species
UGCCUACGGGGGGCAGCAGUGAGGAAUAUUGGUCAAUGGGCGGGAGCCUGAACCAGCCAAGUCGCGUGAGGGAUGACGGCCCUAUGGGUUGUAAACCUCUUUUGUCGGGGAGCAACGAGGCCACGUGUGGCCGAAGUGAGAGUACCCGAAGAAAAAGCAUCGGCUAACUCCGUGCCAGCAGCCGCGGUAAUACGGAGGAUGCGAGCGUUAUCCGGAUUUAUUGGGUUUAAAGGGUGCGUAGGCGGAACAUUAAGUCAGCGGUAACAUCGAGGGG